rnacentral:rRNA from 2 species
AAGCCUUCCGGUUGAGGGCACGUCUGCCUGGGCGUCA